rnacentral:ncRNA from 1 species
GCAGAGUAGGAAUCUGCGUGUCGCAUCCGAACAGGAUGCCAGUGCCGGCGGAACGGGGAGUUGUCCGACGGACGAAAUGGCUUGCCUUGCAGUGCAGAUUCCGCAUCCCGCUGC